rnacentral:rRNA from 1 species
AUUGAACGCUGGCGGCAUGCCUUACACAUGCAAGUCGAACGAAGAGUCUUUGUAGCAAUACGAGGGCUUCUUAGUGGCGAACGGGUGCGUAACGCGUUGGUGACCUGCCCCGAAGUGUGGGAUAACAGUUCGAAAGGAUUGCUAAUACCGCAUGUGGUUUUCCGGAUUAGAAGCCGGAUCUCUAAAGCAGUAAUGCGCUUCGGGAGGGACCUGCGUCCCAUCAGCUAGUUGGUGAGGUAAUGGCCCACAAAGGCUACGACGGGUAGGGGACCUGAGAGGGGGGUCCCCCAGACUGGCACUGAAACACGGGCCAGACACCUACGGGUGGCAGCAGUAGGGAAUAUUGGGCAAUGGGCGAAAGCCUGACCCAGCAACGCCGCGUGCAUGAUGAAGGUCUUCGGAUCGUAAAAUGCUUUUCUGAGAGAUGAGAAAGGACAGUAUCUCAGGAAUAAGUCUCGGCUAACUACGUGCCAGCAGCCGCCGUAAUAC